UACGUAGGGCGCAAGCGUUGUCCGGAAUUAUUGGGCGUAAAGGGCGCGUAGGCGGCUCAUGAAGGCUGUGGUGAAAGUCCGGGGCUCAACCUCGGAUCGGCCGUGGCGACUCGUGGGCUGGAGCACUGUAGAGGCGGGUGGAAUUCCGGGUGUAGCGGUGGAAUGCGUAGAGAUCCGGAAGAACACCAGUGGCGAAGGCGGCCCGCUGGGCAGUGGCUGACGCUGAGGCGCGACAGCGUGGGGAGCGAACAGG
rnacentral:rRNA from 1 species